GCGUAUUCACCUUGAGUUGAUCUGGCUCUAGCGAACGCCGGCGGUCGUAUUAANCNUNNNNGAACGGUAGAAGUCCUUCGGGGCUUUGAGAGNNCNNUAACGGGGGAGUAACACGUAGGUAAUCUGUCUCGGGGUUGGGGAUAGCCCAUGGAAACAUGGGGUAAUACCGAAUGCGUCUGUGUCCACAGAAGUGGAGACAGGGAAAGGCGCUUAGGCGCCGUCCUGAGGUGAGCCUGCGGUCCAUUAGUUAGUUGGUGGGGUAAGAGCCUACCAAGGCGACGAUGGAUAGCCGGCCUGAGAGGGUGAUCGGCCACACUGGGACUGAGACACGGCCCAGACUCCUACGGGAGGCAGCAGCUAAGAAUCUUCCGCAAUGGGCGAAAGCCUGACGGAGCGAUGCCGCGUGAGCGAAGAAGGCCGGAAGGUUGUAAAGCUCUUUUCUCGGAGAGGAAUAAGGCCGGCAGGAAAUGGCCGGCAGAUGACGUUAACCGAGGAAUAAGCCCCGGCUAAUUACGUGCCAGCAGCCGCGGUAACACGUAAGGGGCGAGCGUUGUUCGGAAUUAUUGGGCGUAAAGGGCGUGUAGGCGGUCGUGCAAGCCUGGUGUGUAAGGCUACGGCUUAACCGUAGGAUUGCGCUGGGAACUGCAUGGCUAGAGUCCGGAAAGGGGAGGUAGAAUUCCUGGUGUAGGGGUGAAAUCUGUAGAUAUCAGGAAGAAUACCGGUGGCGAAGGCGACCUCCUGGUCUAGGACUGACGCUGAGGCGCGAAAGCGUGGGGAGCGAACAGGAUAAGAUACCGUGGUAGUCACGCUGUAAACGAUGUGCACUANGUGUGGGGUGACGUACCCUCAGUGCCGUACCUAACGCGANAGUGCACCGCCCUGGGAGUAGCUCGCAAGGUGAAACUCAAAGGGAAUGAGGGGGCCCGCCAAAGCGGUGG
rnacentral:rRNA from 1 species